UGGGCGGGUGCGGUGUGGGCGGUGGCCGCCGCGCUGUUCGGGGCGGCGAGCGGGCUGCCGGGGGCGUUCGUGGCGCCGCUGCUCGUC
rnacentral:tRNA from 1 species